AUCAUCUGUCUUGCUGGGAGCUGCACUCGGGUUCGAAUCUUAAGUGAGGAAUAUAGAAUUCAUAUUAGUAGUGUAUCUAUGUAGUGUGUGUAAGUGUGUAAUACAUGGGUAUAAUACUUAGGAUUAGGGGUUGUCCAAUUCACUUGACAAAAAAAAAAAAGACACAAACGAUUAUAAUACGAAAAAGUAUAUACGCAUAGGUUUGGUUUCUUAAAGUUUUUUUAAAAA
rnacentral:lncRNA from 1 species